rnacentral:misc_RNA from 1 species
GUAGUGUUGCUAUCGUCCAUCGUUAUCCUUAUCCCCUCACCUCUUCUAGUAGUGGCUAGUGGAAACUGUUUGGGUUGUGAAAAAAAAAACGCUAUAUUUGAACAUAAAGAUUUUUUUUAUUAGCGUGUUCUUCGUUUUCACAAAGGCCACUUUUGCGGGAUGGGAAUGGCAUCUAAAAGGAAAAAAAACAAUGAGUAGUGAAGGUCCAGUUAAGAUUGUAGGAAUUAACCAUGGAGUAUGUCUGCAUCAUUUCUUGUUGAUGGAUGGAUGGAAGGAAAAAAGAACAAUUCACUGAUGUUACAUUUUUUUGCCAGUCUCCAGAUGACAAUAAUGAACAACACAGCUUACAAAACAAGCUCCGUGCUAACAGAAGUAUGAUUGGAUGAGGUGUUGUUGCUGCUGCCAGCCGGUUCUUUUCCAUCCUGUUACCUGAUUGUGAGUUAGACCUAGAUGUCUGCAUCUCAAUUGAUCUGAGCUUUGAAGAACUGUUUUGUGUUCUUGAGUACAUCUAUUCUGGGAAGCUGCUGUGUUCAGUCAAAAGCAAAGACAGAAUUUUAAGUAUUCUAAAAGAAUUUGAUAUUUUCGUGCCUGAUCAUCUACAGAAUUCAGUAGACUGUGGAAGAAAUGGAAGUAGUGAGGCAGAAGUGGAAAUAAUAUUUGAAGAAGCCAUUGCAAGUGAACCAAAAACUACUAAAGAUCCCACAAACAUUUCAGAGGAUAAAUCUCCCUUUGCAACUUCUGCCGAUGUUCGUGUAGUAAAUAGUGGAGAACUAAUUUUACGAGAACCCAAUAUUUCAAGCUCCAAUGAAGAUCCCUUCCAGUAUGAAGAAAAGCUUCCAGAAAAAUUCUCAAACAGUCAUAAGAUGUAUAGCAACAAAAGUAAAACUCAUUGUGGAUCAAAAAUGGCUAUUCUGAAUUCAAACACCAAUGUUACUGAAACCAUUGUUGAACCGGAAAUCUCCAGACAUAAAGAUCCGGUCUUCACCGUAGUCACCAACCAACCCACUUCGCUGGAAGAAACGCUUGAAAGUAUCGUAUCGUCAGAGAUUGUAGCGGUUGAACCUCAAGAUAACCCACCGCUAAGUAAUUGUGAUGUGCAUAGAAGUAGUGUAGAAGAUGAAUGGACUAUUCAGCAAAUACCGGAUAGGCAGACCGUUACGGUGCAGUUCCCUGCCCAGAUUCUUGGCAGUACGACUUUGAGCGCACUAAAAAAGGGAAAAAGAAGAAAAUUACAUUUGUUGAGGAAGAGACUGAAGACAGUGACCAAGAUCCCGAAGACAGUGACCAAGAUCCCGAAGAUCAAGACCAAGAAGAUUCUCUUGGUUACGAAGAAAAUGAUGAAGUCAAAAGUAAAUCAGCAGUACAAACAUCUAACCAGUCUGACGAUCAAAGUAAUGGUUUUGAACCUCCACUCAACUUUGAAGUAGCUGCAAAAAAGCUGGAUUCGUGUUUAGAUCAAAGUACAUCUAUCCUAAGAUCGGAUGUGAAGCCUAGUUUGAAAGGAAUCGGAUGUUCUAGUUCAUUUGAGGAUCUCACUCCAAACCUGGACGUGAGUGAUAGUGCUGAAGAAGAAGAUAUUAUUCCUAAGUUGAAGUGCACACAAAACAAUGAAACCUCAAACGUCGAAGAACUAUUGGCCCUCUGCUCGGAAAAUUCCCUGAUUCACUUUCUGGAAGAGACACGCAAAUAAGUAGUUUGACUGAAAAUGCAGAUGACGAAUCUGAUGAAGAAGUUAAGCCGUUCGCAAGAAUAAUUCCAAUGGCUGAUGAGGAUGACGAGGAAGAUGGCUCCAGUAGUGCUCUCCCAAAAUUCGUUUCUGAAAAUGACGCAGAUGAACCUGGAACUGUGCCUUCUUUUUUAGAGGAUGGAGAAAAAUCACUGUCAAAGUUGUACAAGGUACUGGAGGCAACAACGAAAUAUGCUGGAAACAAAACUUAACUAUCAACGCUCGUUGAAGCUCUCGAAGACAGUUUAGUGUGGUGCAACGUCCAUAUCGUCAUCGAUAAGUAAACUUAUCAGCGCAUAUGUUGCUAUAGAUUAAAUGAGAAUGGUAGGAGAGUAUUAUCUUCGCCUUAGUUUGGAAGGAAGUUACUUGACUUUGUUGUAAAUGCCUGGCAACAUGAUCAAUAGUGCAAAUAAGAGGCUAGAUUUGUCCACUAACGAUGACAAUCACACUAACAUGCAUCAUCAUUCUUAAUCAUGCACUGUACUUGAACAAAUUGGUUCGAUUCUUUUCAACUUAACUAUCGAUUAAAUAUGAAGCGGGAAGAUUAAGCACAUUCAAAUAUAAAUGACGUGUACGUGCUGAAGUGAAAAUUUUUACAUUUCUUGUUUUUUUGUGUGUUUGACUUGAAGUACAUUUGUCUGUACUUUCAUGUUAUCUUUCAUGGAAAUUUCGAAAGCGUCUCCUGGUUUCGUAACGCCCGUUUGAACUUUGAUGGAGAAUGGGUAAAGAAUCAAAUUCUAGCGGAUGCAUUAAAUUGCUAGAACUCACAACUAUGUCAGUAAAAUAAACAAUUAGAACUUUUAA